rnacentral:rRNA from 1 species
GACGAACGCUGGCGGCGUGCUUAACACAUGCAAGUCGAGCGGUAAGGCCCUUUCGGGGGUACGACGAGCGGCGAACGGGUGAGUAACACGUGGGUGACCUGCCCUUAGCUCUGGGAUAAGCCUGGGAAACUGGGUCUAAUACCGGAUAUGACUCCAUGACGCAUGUUGUGGGGUGGAAAGCCUUGUGCGGCUAGGGAUGGGCCCGCGGCCUAUCAGCUUGUUGGUGGGGUGAUGGCCUACCAAGGCGACGACGGGUAGCCGGCCUGAGAGGGCGACCGGCCACACUGGGACNGAGUUUUUUUUUUUUUUUUUUUUUUUUUUUUUUUACACGGCCCAGACUCCUACGGGAGGCAGCAGUGGGGAAUCUUGCGCAAUGGGCGAAAGCCUGACGCAGCGACGCCGCGUGAGGGAUGAC